rnacentral:tRNA from 1 species
GCGCUUGUAGCUCAGGGGUAGAGCACUCGGCUUUUAACCGAUUGGCCGCGCGUUCGAUUCGCGCCAGGCGCA